rnacentral:lncRNA from 1 species
CAGAUGAUGAAGUAAUAAAUGGAUGGAUACAAUAUUUAGUUGAUUUAGCUAAUGCCAGCAGAAACAAGUCUCUAUUUGUUGAAAGAAAUCUGCAGCCAUAUUAUGCAAUCACGAUAGAUUAUAAAUGAAGGUUGAUUCAGAACAUGUGGAUAAGUUUUAAAUUGAAUCAAGUAGAACCUAGACUAUGUUAAUGAGUCCUUGUGGCUUCUUCCUUAGUCUCAUAGCAGUUCACCCAGUAAUUUGGUGAACAUGUAAUUCUUAUUUUCUUUUGUUUUGAGUUAUUUAAUGUGCAACUUUUUCCUUGAUGUGCGGCCAGAUUUGGAAUGCAUGGAUACGAAGUAUGGUUCAAAUUGUAUGGCAUGGCAUUGUACUUCCUGAACAUGACACAUGCUGCCUACCCACAAAAAUGUGUACAUAAACAGGAUGUGUAUAUGUUUAUAUCUGGGCUUGUUUGUGGUUAGAUGGACUCUUCAUAUGUGUCUAUAAAUUUUUGGGAAAGGGGGGGUGGGGGGGAAGAGAGAGAGAGUUACUAUGGGUCUCUAUUGAUCGUCAUUCUCGUGCUACAUGCUCAGACGUUUCUACCUUGUGCUUGGUACCACUGUCUUUCACUUUUACUGAGAACAAGAUUGAAUUGAUUACAUCUUUUGUCUUCAAAAGUUUUUGAAACUCAAAAAUGCAAUGACUUAGAUUCUUCUCUUUUUCCCCUGUUUUGUGUUCUUACUUCUUUGGGAUAGAUAGCUAGAUGUCUUGGGGAGGGAGAGGGAGAGAGAGCCUGUAUGGGCAUGGUACUUAACAUUGUGGAUUUAACUAGUGGUGGACUGUACGGACAUGGUACUUAACAUUGUGGAUUUAACUAGUGGUUGAACUAUGUCAUAUUUGAUUGAUGUGAAAAAUGCUGCUUUGAAGCAUCAUAGAUAAUAUUCUGGACACAAAUGGAACUUCUGGAAAUUGUUUUAUUAGCUUCUGAAUUGGUGUCUGAGUGUGUCUAUCUUUCUUCAAUCUGUCCUUACUUCCAAUGGUACGUUUUGACGAAAAGAAAUUUUGAGGCCUUGAAGAAAGGACCAUAUUGUACUGUUCUUUAUUAGUUACCACAUGGCUUGAUUUGUUCUUAGUUUCCUGGUGAAACUUUGAAAAAUAAAUAUUGUCUUCAAAGAUGUUCAAAACCUGUCUUGAUCUAUGUGUUUCUUGGCGUUUUUGCCUUUGUUCAAUCUAUUCAACUUAAUAACCAUUCUUCUGCCCCAUUCACAUUUAGGAUCCUGUUUUUAGUGCAUCUGUUAUGCAUUACUCUUUUGCAUCAUGUGCAUAUAAUUGUCUAUAGGUAAUUCUAAGAGGUUUCUUGUUAGUGAGCUGAUGGAUUGUGUGCUUAAUCUCCUAUUUAUGUGUAUUUUUUCUUGUAUAUUGACCAUAGUUCAUUUUGCAUGUUUGAGUUAUGUGCCUUUGGUCAAAUGGGCCAUAUCCUGCUCUCCUCCUGGUGGGAUGCUGCGUGAAUUGACAUUAUGCAUGUGUGCUUGUUUGCAUGUUGUGGCUUGAAGAGGGUUCCAAUAUCCUUUUAUUGCUGAAGAAAUUAGAAGUGUUGCAAGAGCAGAUCCAGCCCUUCGAAAGCUUUUUGUUCGUGGUUUAUCCUGGAAUACUACUUCAGAGACCUUGUGUGCUGUGAGUGCAUUGUUGUAUGCUUGUUUUAGGUUCCCUUUGUAAAAGUUGCCUGUGACAUGGCCAUCACAAGAGAAAAUUUAUUUGCUUAUGGUUCUCUUUUCCCAGCAUAAUGGCUUUAAGACUUUCCAGCAAAAGUAAUAAGCUUAAUGACAGAAAAAUCUCAUGUGGUUGUUACUGUUCAGGCAUUUGAAGAGCAUGGGGAAAUUGAAGAGGGUGCUGUGAUAGCUGACAAAGCUACAGGAAAAUCACGUGGCUAUGGUUUCAUCACAUACAAAGACAUGGAGUCAGCUCAGAGAGCUUUAAAAGCACCAAGCAAAAUUAUUGAUGUAAGCAAUUACCAUUCUCCUUCAUUAGGCUCACUGAUCUUUGCUAUGGUUGCCUAUUGGGUAAAAUGGAAAAGGAGUUGAAAAAUUAACUUUUGGCUUCUUUUGUUUUUCUGUGAUCUACAUCAUCAAGUUCAAGUGUCGCCCAAUUGUGAGUAAGAGAGAGCUUUGUAAUAAUCUUUCUGUUUUUGCAAACUGGUUCUAUAAGGAAAGACCAAAAGGUAAUAAGGUAGUUGCAUUUGACACUUCCAGGGAAAGAAGAAAGACAGAAAAGUUAAUAGUUUACUGGGUUCAAUCUUCGUGCAAUGAGGGGUUGCUUCAUUUUAUUUUGCAAAGACAUGUCACUAGUAGGAGGAGAAUUUCUUCUUUUGGGUAAAAGGCAAAGCUGCAUGAGCUUAGCCUCAUACUUUCGGUUUGCCUUAAGGCUAUGUUGAUAAUGCUAUAGUUGUCUAAUUGAGGAGACAAAGUCAGAAUACAGCUUUGUAUCUUAUUUGUUGUGCUAAUUUAGUAAAUGGAGUGUUUCUCUUUCUGUUUUGUUUGUGUCUCAGUAUGUUUAACAUUGCAUAUAGCUGAUUCUGUGAUAUUUUAAGCCCUCUUUUACUCAGUUAAAUUGGUUGACUUUUUGGCCAAUAGUUGUGUAGUUUAACUGGCUUGCAAUAGUGUUGAAAAUUUGACUUCAGACUUCUUGCUUCAUUCUUCCUGAGAGACUAUUCUGGAGAGUUCAUGUUUUGGCUUCCAUUUUGCAACAAUAAAACUUGGUGUAAUCACCGAAGUCUUCAUAGAUUGAGUAAAAUUGACGUGUUAUCCUGAUCUACUUGAUUUUAACCUCAUUUAUUUCAUGCAUUUUGAAUAUUAGUGCAUUGACCACUUUAGUGCAUUGGUGCUGCCUGUUACUUAAACAAACCAUUUUUUGAUUUUAUGCUCUCUAUCUGUUGGUUUUAGGGUCGCAUGGCUGUCUGUAACCUAGCCUGUGAGGGCUUGAGCAGCUCCAGCACUACACCUGAUCAGGCCCAGAGAAAGCUCUAUAUUGGUAGUUUGUCACCGGAAACUACCAGUGAAUUGCUACUGAGCUUCUUUGCAAAGCACGGUGAGAUAGAAGAAGGUUCAGUGGCAUAUGACAAGGAAACAAACAGAUCACGGUAUGAAACCUUCCUAUCUCUAUGUUGCUACUAAAAUUAGGGAAUCUGUUAUGAGCAAAAUGUGAUGAAUCUGACCGUACAUAUGCAGUGGUUUUGGCUUUGUUACUUUCAAAACUGUGGAAGCUGCAAAGAGAGCUAUAGAUGAUCCACAAAAGAUGCUUGGGGUGAGUAGGCAUAACUUCAUAUCUGACUUGUGUGCUUAUGCAAGUUAUGUAGUUCUUGUUGGUGAAGUUGAAAUUUCAGUCUUUUAACUUUCAAUCUUGUAGGACAGGUGUUCUGUUUGUGUACAGCCAGAUAUGUGUAAGAAUUAGAUGUAUAUCAGAUGUUCGAAGUAAAAUGUAUUAUAAAUUAGCAAAUCCUAAGCUCUUUCCGAGCAAAAUCUGAUUUACGACAAUGUGCAGGGGCAUUACGAUUCAAAUAUGUUAGCAUAUGCAUUGUGCUAUGUACUCCAAGUAGUUAUGUGCAGAUGAGGAUGUUAUCCAAGGAAAGAUACUUUCUCAAGUUAAUGCUAAUGUGAAGUCUGGUUGUAGUAGCCAAAGGAGUUUCAUGCCAUAUAUGCCUUUGUACUACCAUCUAGAAUGUCAAAAGUUGUGGGCUUGAUACUUUUGUUAAAGACUGGUCUGAGUUAACAGUUGCAUGCAUUAGCCACCACACCACCACGCGUUCCGUGUAUAGACUGAUAGCAAGAAAAGAUUGAUGCAUCAGUUCUGUGCUACUGUGGCUGUGAAUGAAUAUCCUUAGACCCGCAAAGACACGACCUUUUUUGGCUACUCUGAUAUACUCGAAAGCUCUUUUAACAUUAAAACUAUUAAGGUUGGACAGGCUACAACUACAUGAUAUCAGAAGAACGGAGGAAAGGCUUUCAGAAAAAUUUUAAAUGUUAACAGUUAUUUCUGAUAUUAAUAUUCAGUACAUCAGGGAAGUCAGAUCCAGUGUGAAUUCUUUGAGUGUUACUUUUGAAUGGUGUUGAUUGAGCUACAACAGAAGCCACUAUAUCAUUUUUUUUAAUCGUUUUUAUUGUAUGAUUAUUUACCCUAGGUAGCAAACCAGCAGCCCUCUUUUUGGUGCAUGUAAUAUCUGUGUAAAUAAGAAAUGUGUAUGUCUUUGUUAGUGAUUAUUAUGAAGGAAUUUUGUCUUUUCAAAAUGGUUGCAGGGAAGAAAUAUAACUGUGAAGCUUGCUGAUAACCACAAAGGCAAAGUUAUGCACACACAGUUACCAUCACCAAUUGUUCCAGUACCAGUUGGUUUGGCUUCUGCAUACCCUCCCCCUCAUAAUGUUCAUUCUGGCUCUGGAAAUCCGGUUGGAUAUGCUUAUCCUCAACCAUUGGCAGCAUAUCCUGGUACUGCAUACUCAAGUCCACCUGUAGUAGGAGCUGGUGCAUACCCAGGCCAACCACAGACUUCGUAUCCCCAGUUUGGUCAUAAGAAAGAUCCUCCAACUCCACCUUCAGCACUAGGAGGGUACCCGUAUUACAUGCCAAAGCAAUGAUUAUAACCUCAUUGUAAGCAUGUUUCAGCCAGCUGAUUGCUAUUCCUUGUCCCUUUCCUAAGCACAUUCCUAAGAUAACUUGGCCCCUGCAGGAUUCUUAACGAAUUAUUAGCUGCUUAAUAAAUAGUUGCUACAUGUUAAAUUUUGUCUUACUCUCUCUUUUCCUUUUGUAUUCCUUUUAACCCAGGUUCUCAGGAGCUUAGGUUAUUGCAUUUGAGAAAGGAGCAAACUUGGAUGAGGAUAUGCAAAUUAAAUGUUUUAUUGUUGCAGCACCUAAUUAUUGUAAUGGACAAAUUUUUUGUAGUUGUAGAUGUUAUAAGGAUGCCAUGUUACAGGUGGCAGAUUUAAUCUCUGUAUCUAUCUUAGCUUGAUAAAGACGUAGCUGUCCUUGGUUUUGUCUGAUUUUCUUCCUCCAAUACAACUCGAUUUGUUUUGUCUGCUUUUUGGAUGCGGUUAUGGUGUUUAUUUGCUUGAGUUCUACUGCCGGGGAACAACAAACUUUUUGCACAUUUCAUUGCAUGCCAAUAAUGGUCUUGCUGCCGCUGAAAAUGAUCAGAAUCUGCCCAUGAUACAAGCGUUUCCUAUUGAGGUAUCUCUCGGUAAUAGGACCAAAAAACUAGACGCCAUUUUUUCCAGUCUGGUAAACUUCUGAAGCGCCGGCCACCGGUGGAAAGCUGAAUGGUAGACUAGUCACAUAUGUAUGUAUAGUCAUCUGCUGGAUAUAUGCGGCUUGAAAAGAGAGGGAAUGGAAUGUUGAGAUUGGGAGAUUACUAAGAGAGCGUAUUGGUUGUGGCACAAUUGCCAUGGUACCAAACGAAAAGAUAAUGAAACUCAGGUUUGGAUUCAAGAGUUUUUUAAAAACUAGUUUUUCAAAUACUAUAUUAAAAUUUUAAAAAAAUACUCUAAAAAGUAAUCUAAAUAUUUUUAAUAUUUAAAAAAUAUUCCAAAAUAUAUUCUAAUAACUUUUCUGCUCUUAAAUAUCCCAAAAUAUUUUUUAAAAUAUACUAUAGAAAUUUUGUUACAGUAAAUUUUUUCAAAAAUACUCCAAAAAACAGCUAAUCCUCUGUUAGCUGUUUUUGGAGGUAUUUUUGAAAAAAUUUAUUGUAGUAGUGUAUAUGAAAAAUUUUUACUAUAAAAAAUUUUUGAAAUUUUUGAUAUAUUAUAUGGAUGAGAUAUUUUUUGAGUUAUUAUGUAUUACUAUAACAUUAUAUUUGAAAAACUUGUUUUUGAAAAAAUGGCUAAUCCAAACGGAAAAUGAGUUUCUUAUUUGCUUUAUUAAUUGAUCUGAAGUUAGGAAAAAGCAAUUUGGAGAUUUGUAUUAUUUGUUUCGGUUUUGUUUAGGUUCCAAAAACGGAAUUCGAGAUACAUGAAAAGUAAGAAGAAAGUAUUUCUGUUUUAAUUUUUUAAAAAAAAAUGGGAAAAAGGGUGAAAUUUAAGGUUUCGACAAGAAGAGCAUAUUAAUUGUUUUACGUUGCAUGACACUGAUUUUGUAUUAAUUGUUUCACUGAAAAAAGAUGUUAUUUGGAAUGUAGUUUUUUAAGGAAAAUUUUUUACUUUUCUCAUAGACACAUUUUCCAUUAACCUUUUUAACUUAUAUCCAUGAAAUCAUUAAAGUGCAUUUUUACAAAAAAAAAAAAAUUAAAAAUAGCAAUCCAACUGGAACCAAAAAAUUUGGUAACCUUUUCCUUGUUGGAGUUUUUUUUUUAAGUUUUUAGGCUGCUUUCGAAGGUUAGAAAAUCAGAAAACAACUUUUUAUUUUAUUUUAUUUUUGGAGCGGAAUGGCAAGCUUGUCACAAAAACUUUUCAAUUAAAAUAGUUUUCCAGAGUACUCAAAAGGUAAAUAAAAAUAUGCGAAAAUUUUCCAAUAUCAAAAAACUUUUUUCUGGCCACUAAAGUCAAAGUCAAAAGGUGUGAAAAAUGUACGGCCUCUUAAUUGGUUUAAAUACAUUUUGAAAAAAAAAAAAAAAAAAAAACCCAAUAUUUGCAAUGCCCUUUGCGUAAAGUCCAUAUUUACCUUAAUAACCUUGAGUUUGACGUUAUUGUAAGCACUUUCGUCUUCGGAGCCUAAAAACCCUUCCCCUGAGACAAAAACCCCUUUUGUCUGCUGGUGUCAAUGAACUCCUUGCUCCUCUAAUGGCUACUUCUGCAUCAUCAUCCAAAGGCAUCAAAAACUUCUGCAUAACUUGAGGUAUGCAACUUCUCAAUAAAGCCCAUGCAAAAUAACAUAUGCUUUAUUAGUUAGAAUAAUAGUUUUUUCCUCACUUAUUUAGUCAGCAUUUGUUGCUAUUUUGAUUCUCUGUGUAUUAUAGAAGAAAAAUGGUCUUGGCCCAUUUGCAGAAACUUGGAAAACCAUCCAUUGUCAAAUGGGUUUCUAUUGGUUUUGUUAAUAACAACUUUAGAGUAUCAAGAAGCAAUUUUUGGGCAAUUUGGGGAACUGGGUCGUGCCAAAUUGCCAAAAACUUUAGCUGUUAUAGUAGAAGAAAGGCCAGGAUGAUGGAAAUUGCUGCUGAAAAGGAAGCCCAAGCUGCUUUGUUAGAUUACUUGCAUUCUACUAGAAGCUUGCUGUUUACUGAUGCUGAUAAUAUGAGUAGAAAUUCACCACACUUUCUCAGGAAGUUGUUGGGAAAAGUGGAUAAUCAGGCUGAGAUUGGGCGGUCUAUAACCCGGUUUCUUAGGUACCAUCCUAUCAACGAGUUUGAACCAUUUUUUGAGAGUAUGGGAUUGAAACCUUCUGAGUACUCUACGUUGCUUCCAAGGCAACUGAUGUUCUUGAAUGAUGAUCCUGUUUUGCUGGAGAACUAUCAUGUCUUGUGUAAUUACGGUAUUGCACGGAAUAAGGUAGGAAAAUUUUACAAGGAAGUGCCUGAGAUUUUCAGAUACGGUGAGGGGGUCCUGCAGAAAAAGAUUGAUUCUUUUGAAAAGGUGGGGCUGAGUCAAUCUACUGUGAUCAGAGCUGUUCUUUCAAGUCCAUAUCUUUUGGUUGGGGAUGCAAAUCUGGAGUUCUUUGAUGUUUUAGAUAAAUUGAGGAGUGCUGAUCCUGCAUUUGAUUGGAUUGAGCACUUAAUGGAAGAAAAUUCGUAUGAUUGGAGGCAAAUGCUUGAGAUUUUGUGCUUGCUUGGCAAGAUGGGUUGCAGUGAGGAGCAGUUGGGAAGUUUAAUUCGAAAGCAUCCAGAACUCAUAUUUGAGAAUUCAGGAUCCAAUGCCUUAUUGCUGAUUGGGGUCUUGACAAAAUUUGGAUUGAGACCAGAUGAGAUAUGCAGUACGUUCCUUCAGUUUCCACAAAUCCCAAUUGCAAAGUUUCUGGGGAAUUUAAAGCAUUGCUAUAAUUUUCUUGUUGAAAUUGAGAUGGCUAUGCUAGAUGUUGGGAGGAUAGUUUGUUCACAUACUAUAUUGCUAGGUUCAUGUACUAUAAAGAAACUUGAAACAUUGCUGACUGCUUUGAGAGUUACAAAGGAUCAGCUCUGUGAAAUCGUGAAGGAAAGUCCUGAAGCAAUGGAGAACUGGGUUGUUGGAAAGAAAAUUAAGCGACUCCCAAACCUGACAGCUGAGGAGGAAGAGCUAAGAUCACGGAGGAUGAAGACUGAAUUCUUAUUGGACCUUGGAUUUGUUGAAAACUCGGAGGAAAUGAAAAGAGCACUCAAGUUAUUUCGAGGGAAGGGACUGAAUCUUCAAGAGAGGUUUGAUUGUUUUGUAAAUGCUGGUUUUAGCAAAAAGGAUGUUGCUGAGAUGGUCAAAGAAUCUCCAAAUAUCCUUAAUCUGUCUAAGGAUGCCAUUGAGACAAAGAUUGAGUUUCUUGUAAACGAUUUGGGCUAUCCUGUGUCUAUUUUAAGAAAGUUUCCACCAUGCAUCUCCUACAAGAUAGAAAGGAUCAAACUUAGGCUUACAAUGUAUAAUUGGCUUAAGGACCAGGGUGCUGUGGAGCCCAAUCUCGCAUUAAGCACUGUGCUAGCAACUGCUGACAAGUUGUUCAUCAAGACAUACGUAGAGCAGCAUCCUGAAGGCCCUGCAGUUUAUGAAAGGCUAAAACAAACAAUAUGUUCACAUUAGACAUGGUCAUUUUUCUAUAAUUAGCUUGAGUUUUCUAUCCUUGCAACUGGGAUGUACAGACUGUUUGCCAGCUCAUCCUUGUGGAAUCAUCCUGCAUCAAAUUAAAUGCAAAGAUAUUGAAUGCCUCUAUUGAUCUUACAAAGCAUCAUUAUAUCAGCAACACAGGUUAGGAUUUGACAUCAGGUAAUUCCAGUUUUUAUUGAUUGUGCCCACCAAUUUUGCUUUAUUGACUGUUCUUUAAGUUGAGAACGAUAAGAAUUGGGCUUAAGUGGUUCCCUGGGACACUGCUGUGCCCCUAAAAGUUAUUUGUGGACUGCUUCAUGCCCUCCUUUGCCUGGGUCUUUAUGUGAGCAUCACACUAACGAAUGGGGAUAUAGUGGUUCCUGGAAGAAGAAUUUACCUGAUAGCCUUACAUACAUUUUUGGUUUGGCUUUGCUUCUUCCAUUAAUAUAUGUCUUUCCAUUUCUUGUGAAUUUGCUACUGAUAAUGUUAACCAAAUCCAAUUGCAUAUGCAUCAUGUAGAAGAAUAAUAUGAUGUGACGUUACUGGAGACUAACAUCACUGGAGUAGUUAAGGUGAAACAAGACAAAUAUCUUCGUGUCUGUUAAGCAUUCUAUAUGGAUAUUUCUUAGUAGGGCCGACAUGGCUUCUAAUGUUGAGAUAUUUUUCAUAAAGUGUGUCAGCUGGUUUUGCUUGUUUGGUCCUUAUGUUGAUGUUCAUUGUGAGUCUGCCGUUAUUAUUUUCUUGUCCUUGGAAAGGAUACACCAAUUGAGGAAGAAGUGAAACUGAUAAUGAAGUACUGUAGGUUGGGACUGUCUUGCAGAUAUGCCCAAUCUUCUGUCAGUUCGAAUGUGGUGGCAUUUCAUACAUGAUCUCUUUUGGGCUUUGAACAUUUAUCUUUUGUGCUGCAUUAAACAUGUAGAGGAAUCGUCCCUUCGACUGCCUUGAGGCAAUAAUGUUCUCAUAACAUGACAAAAUGCUUACCUUUAAAAGGCAAUUACUCUGGUUUGAUAAAAGAAAUUCUCAUAUGCCAUGUUGUUUUCAUGACAAAGUGUAAUUGUAAAAGGGUGAUUGCCUUGGUAUUUUAUAAACAAAAUGUUCACAUGCCAUGUUAUUUGUAAACUGCCUUCUUGACACCUUUGCUGUUAUGACCUGACAUGCUUAGAUUGACAAUCACAUGACCUCCUCUCUGGCCGAAAUCUUAAGAUAGAUGUGUAUCAAAUAGUUGUUUUUCGUGGAAGUAUGUAUGCCUCGUCAUCUUAUGCAUUGCUGCAGUGUUCAAAGAUGCCAUAUUUCUUUAUGUGAUGCAAUCGAGUGACAGGUUAUCAUUUGCUCAUAGUUUUUGUUAGCCAGCUGAAGAUUUGCAAAUUUCUUGGCGGUGUUUUGACAUUUUUAGACAUUUCCCUUGAAACCCAGCUUCUUUGUCAAAAAAUCUGCAGGAUAAUUACCUACGUAAAGGGGUGAAACAGAGUAACAUUGAAGCAGGGUUUGGCACAUUUGUGGGUAUGGAAGGGUGCAGUCGAAGUGCUUCUUUCCGUAUAGCCUGCAGGUAUAGAAGCUUCGGUAUAUCUGACUCGACAGUCUUUGAUUUCUACCAAUGACUCAAUCCAUCUCCUCUCGUGCUUGCUGGAGGAUGUUAGAAGUCUGCAGCAUCUCCGCGAGCGCCCACUCUAUAACUCUUGAAAACGUGUCCGUCCCAACAACAAACAGAUUCUAAUGGAAAGAUGUACACAUGAAAGCGAUUGGCGUUAACCAAAAAUUCACAGAAUUGAAAAUUCAUUACUAUAUAAAAAGUAUCAUGAGUUUUGGUACUUUGGGGUACCAAGUGUAAGCAUUCUUUUGGUAAUUUGGAAUACAAGUGUAAGCACUCUUAUGAUAUUAUUAGUUUUUGGUAUUUCAAUUAUGACUUUCUUAAUUUGUGGUUAAAGUUUCGUAUAAUUUUAAUUAUGGGUGGCUUAGAAGAAAAUAAUUGUUGAUUUUUAAGGUCAGUGUAUUGCAUCAUACUAUAUUGAUUUAGCAAGAGAAGUCUCCUUAAAAAUACAAAUAGUUAAAUGAUUUAAGAAACAUAAUGAUUUCAUAAACAUUUCUUGGAUGAGUUAUAUAAGUUGUACACAUUCAAUUUAGAAGGAGAAGAAUUUUCGCAUCGCACAAAUGGAAUUUCAAUAUACAAAAAAUUAUGACACCUUUAUAACGAAAAUAGUAAUAUCAAACAGGAAAAAAAUAAAAUCGGAAAUAGCACUAUACAAACCAUUAUGACCGUUAAUAGCAACCCUUCAAAAUAAGGAAAUUUUAAAAAAAAAUUGAAAACUAUUCAUAAAAUGACAUAAAGUGUAUAGCAAAUGAAUUUAAAAGUUAAAAAUAUAAUUCAAAUAAUAUCAAAGACAAUAUUCAAAUCAUUGAUAUUCAGAUGAAGACAAACAUUGUUAUUGGGAACAAUAUAGUAAUGCUUCAUUUGUAUUAAUUUAAGCAAACUAAAUCCAUCCAUCAAGGCAAAAGCCAUCUCCAAUGAUAAAAUAAGGAUUAUUAUAAAAGUAGACUUAAAAUGAAGAAUCAUAUCCAAAUUAUUUUCAUUGAUACCCAAAAUACCCUUAUUUUUUCUAAUGAUUACAUAUAUUUAUUGUAUUUGUAAUAUUAGUGAAUAAUGGUAGCAGUUAUGAAAUGGAAAGCUUUAAAAUUAAGUAAAUUUCAUUUAUGAUGACAAUUGUAAUUAGACAGAUUUAAUGCAUUCUAGUAUUUGACAAUAAUGGUAGUGGUUAUAGGUAAAAAGUUAACAAUUGAAAAAAUUAAAAUACUGCAAUAUACUAAAAAUUAAUAUUAAAAUUGUUAAUUAGCCACAAUUCUCAUUCCAAUUUCAUGACCAUCAAAUACACUGAUACUAAAACCAAAAAUAUUGUACUCAUAUGAAAAAAGUAGACCUAUUGCUUUUGCUUUGAAUUGGAUUGCGCAAAAAAUAUAUGAAUAAAAGAAAAGGAAAAUGGAAAAACCACAACUAUCUCUAUCUAUGAAAUUUCAAUUGUGAUAAUGUACAAGUCAAAAAAAAAAAAACUUUACGUGGUGGAUUAUUUAUACUCCAUUAUCGACAAAAAUAACAAUAAAAAGAAUACAAAGAAUUCAAAUUACAUGUAUGUUUAUUUUUCUAGCUUAAUUCUAUUCUUCAUUUAUAAAAAAAAUUGUAAUGAUUUUGAUUUAUAAGUAAUAAAAUCAUGAAUAUACAAUAAUUUUGGUAAAACAUGAUAUUAUCAAUAUUUGAUAUGUUAUAGUUCAAGCUAUAAAUAAAAAAAAAAUGUUUGGUUCAUGAUUCCAAAUUCAAUCCUACGAGACAUGUUAACUACAUUGAAAUGUUUUCUGUGUCUUUCCAUUCAAUAAAAUUUUUAAAAGUAGCUAGUUUAAGAAAAUAAAUAACAUAAAAAAUACUAUAUUAUAAUGUUGAUGAUCAAAAUUUUACAAAAAAAAAAAAAAUUAGUAUCUAAGGAAUAAUAUAUUUUAGAAUAUUAUAAUCACGUGCUUAAACUAUUCCUAGUAUUGGAAAAAAAUUUGGAUGUCAAAUGAUCAUGCGUCUUCCCUUGCAAUGUACAACCAUCUGAUUUGGUGCGGCAACAAUGGACAGACGGAGCUUCAGUAAACAGUAAAUGAGUGUGGUUCAUGUUGAGUCCUACUUAUGAAAUUGAAUCUUCACAAUUAGGCAGACACAAUCCUGACAAGUAUACAAAAUUGAUGGGCACCUCUAUUCACCCAGUAUAAAUAGGUAAUAAGAAAUCAUCACAACUCUCCUUAACCGAGUUUCCUAACACCUCAGAAGCUAAUUUAGGUAUCGAAGUAACACUUCAAAAGUUAAAUUUAGAUAUCGGAGUCACACUUUGACACCGGAGGGAAAGCCUCGUUCCUCUUUGUGCCUUCCUUCUUCUUGUGCUUCUGGGAUUUUGAACCAAAAUUGCCAAGCUCCCAAGUUUCAUCCAGAACCAUACUUCAAAAUAAAAAUCUCCUUUAGACUUCUAGCGAGUACACGAGUAAUCUCAAAACAAGGAAGCUGGAAACAAGCUGGAUAAAAAUGACAAGCACCUAAACAUAUCUCAAACACGCAAUCGUACAUAGAGACACGGACACAAGUGGGCUAGAAGGUAGUCUGUGUGAGUUAUAGCAUUAAUUUGUUGCGUUCUUUUUUCCCUGUAUAUCCAUCCAUAUACAUGCAUACAUUUCUCCACCAACAGGCAACAGAUUGAUUGUUUGAAAUUCUUGGACACGGGCAAAGGAGCUUAAGCUGAAUAAGAAUUUAGAGCCAGUCUUGGACUAACCUUGGCUUUAAGAGGCACAGCCAAACCAAAACUUUCCUCCAUGUUGAACUCAAUCACUUCGGCAGGCAGUUUCCAAUCGAAUGAGUGCACCAACGUCCCUAGUACGUAUUCCACUAGCACUACGCCCAUUCUAGCUCCAGCACAAAGUCUCCUCCAGGCCCCAAAUGGAAUCAACUCGAAAUCAUUUCCUUGGGGAUCAAGUUUUGCAUGUUUUCCGCUGAGAAACCUAUCAGGGUCGAAACCUAGCGGAUUUUCCCACACAUCAGGAUCUCUUCCAAUUGCCCAACUAUUCACACUGAGUCUAGUGUUUUUGGGUAUGUAGUACCCAUUUACUUCACAUGCUUGAGAUGCAAUUCGAGGAAGAUUUAGCGGUGUAGAAGGGUGCUUCCAAAAUGCUUCUUUGCAUAUAGCUUGGAGGUAUCGAAGCUUAGGCAUAUCCGACGUCGGUUUCUCCCAGUGACUCUAUCCAUCUCCUCUUGUGCUCGCUUCAAAAAUGCUGGGAUUCUUCAGCAUCUCCACAAGCGCCCACUCGAUAGCGCUGGAAGGUGUGUCCGUGCCUGCAGUGAACAAGUUCUUGUGGAAAGAACAAAGCAUGGAAUCAGCAAAAGUCGACAUACAUAAUUGAAAUAUCACAGUUGGACCACAUAGUAUGUAACUAAGUUCGUGCUUAAUUAGCAAAAAGUGUACAUCAUCCAUCAUGUGCAUGAAUAACACAGAGACUAAAUUGGGGAUUGGGGAAAGAUAAACAAAGGAUAAUCAUCAUACACACAAAGCGGGGAAAAUAUAUACACAUGAGGAAGCAUUAGAGACAAGAUUUUGCAUAUUAUCAUAAAUUACAAGCUAGCUAUAGAGGUGUCAAAAUGGGUGAUUUGGGCGGGUUUGGGUUGGGUAAAAUGGGUAAUGGGUAUAAGUAAGUUAGGGAUGUAAUCGAACCGAGCUGCUCGCGAGUGGUCAAAAACUUGACUCGAACUCGGGUUGACCGAGUUCGAGUCAAGUUCGAGCGCCUCGAUAUGCUAAACGAGUCGAGUUCGAGCAUCUAGAAGCAUUGCUCGAAGGCUCGUCGAGUUUUAUCGAGCUUUUUAAUUUUAAUUAUUUAAUAUAUUAUUGUUAUAAAAUUACCCUUAUACCCAAAAGAGUUGUUGAAUUUACGAAAUGUUUCAAGUCAUAUAAAAAAUUUUAAAGGACAAUAAUGUCUUUUCGCUCAAAAAUUAUCAAGAAAAUGAAAAUUUCUAACUCGAGCUCGAUCGAGCUUGAUAAGGCUCGUAUUGACUCGAGCUCAUGCGAGUCGAACUCGAGUUUUGCGAGCAAGCAUCGAGCUCGAGCUCGAGCUCCAAUAAUACUACUUACUCGAGCUCGAGCACCCGUCUUGCAUGUCGAGUCGAGCUUGAGUAUGGCAAUACUCGGGCUCGACUCGACUCGAUUACAUCCCUAGAGUCAACCCAUUUAUACCCAUCUAAUUAGAUGGGUAUAAAUGGGUAAGUCAAAAAAUGAAUUGGGUAAUCCAAUUAUCCAUUUAUUUUAACUUUUUGUAAACUCAUUUAAAUUCAUUUUUACAAACUAAGUUAUCAAUUUAUACCACUCAUUGCACCCAUCAUUAGUUUUAAAUAUUUACUUAUAAUGUUCAAUAAGUCUAAUUAUCAAUUUUUUUCCUAUCUGUACUCUAUGUCGCAAAAUUACAUACUAUUUAAUAAUUGAAUAAUAAGAAUAUAAAAAUUUAAAUUAAGUACUAUAAAAAUUAACAUAAAAACUUAAUCCAAAAAUUUUGAACCCCUAAUAUUUUUUUCAUGCGUAAAUUUAAAUUUUCAUUUUGGAAUUGUAGGAAAAGAGGCUAAAACUUAUCAUAAAUUGGUAAUGCUAAAAAAUGAGUAAGUUAACAAAUUAAAAGAAAAUAAAAUGAUAAAAUAAAACCAAUAAAUAACAAUAAUAAUGAAACAAAAGUAGUUAACAUCAUAACAAAGUGAAAAAUCUGAAAAAAAAAAAAGGGUGGGGGAAGAGAGGAGAUUUGGGGAAAAACAAUUCUAAAUGGGUUAAUUUGGUUUGAUAGGUUACCCAAUAAUACCCAUUUAUUAAAUGGGUAUUAUUGGAUAACCCAUUUAUACCCAUAUACAAAAACUUAAGAUACCCAUACUCUCAUAUGCGGAUAUGGGUAAAUUUAAUUAAAUGGGUUGAUUUGGCACCUAUAGCUAGCUAGUACAAUAUAGGAAGCGGUCACCAUAGUUUGUAGACACAUUAAAGAUUUUAUGAGACAACUGCAAUAUGCGACUAUGACUAUAAAAGAACAGCACAAAAUGAUGAUACUAAAUACCUGAAUCUUAAAAUUUUUUAUUGCAAUUGAUUAACAACAUUCUACCUUCAAAGGAACUACCCUCACCAACAACUCUUGUUGUCAUAACUCAACAUAAAUCUCUUAUCUUUUAUUUGUUUGAUGGAGAAUUCACCUGGUUUAGUGACUACUAAUUUACUGCACGUACCUAUGCUUGGACCGCUAAAGCUAGAUUUUCUUGUUUUGGAUAGAGGAAAAGUAAAACACUCAAAUAUUCGGGCUUAUAGCUGUUGCAUUCAAGCAAAUUUUAGCUCCAUGCUCCUUCUUUCUUUGUUGAUGUGGAUAUUUCCACAGACAUCAGCAGGGUCCAGCCUCGGAAAUACAUAAUAAGUCCAUAUUAGUGUUUCGCAAUUUGUGUAGGUGCAUGUGGCAAUGGCAGUACAGAAAGAGAGUUGAGGAAAGGGCCGGUUGAAGAAGAUAAGGGCAAAUGCUAUAGAAGAAGGGAUUUUUGCGCGUUUUUUAUUUCUGAUUUUGUUCGCACCAGCGCUUUUCCACUAGAGCGAAUUCAUUUCCUUGAUUAGUUUUGACCAGAAACUCUUUUUUCUUUUUCUUUUUUUUUGUUUGGGGGAAAUUUGACCAGAAACUUACUAGAGUGAAAGUUUCUGUAGCAGCAACACCCUCGAUAAGGUUGACCAAAAACCAAAGCUCAUAUAAGUUAUCAUUUCACCCCAAGAAGUCGUCUCUUGUUAUUAGUCAAGUUCUAUCAAAAUUUGAGAUAAACUAAGCUCUUAGGGCUUUUCCUUAUGAUCCGUUGCCUAAUCUCACUAGCUAUGUAACCUAAACAAGCUUUUACAGCUUCAACAGUUGAAAUCGUGACGACUAAAUGUUUAUUAUUGGGUACAAACUUUUUGCUUUAACCAGGAUUAAUAUAUACUUAGGAAAAAGGGCUGGCUUCGUGAUUUUCUUUGAACCAUUCAAAAAUUAAUGGCCAAUAUCCCACCAAUGAAACCAGAAACAUAAAAUCAAAGAAAAAAAAAUGGUAGCAGUCAGUAGACAAACAGAUCAAAAACACUCGAGCGAAAAAGAAACCGCUCGAUCAAAAAGGGCUGCCCGAAAUCACGUAGUUAGGCAAGUUUGUCUUCUUCCACAUAUUAUCCAAAGUAACAGCUCGAUUUCCAGCUGGUUUCUGCAAAACUAUGCACGCCUCUGGUAGUCUUGUGCAUCGAGAAUGGUUUGCUGGUUUUAACGCGAUUUAGCCAGUCAACCUUUGUGUUCAAUAGAAUACGCCUUUUCUUGAAGACUUUUUGCAUCCAAGUUCUGCUGGCUUCUGCCUUUUCUCAAGUAGGAAUUUUUUUUUUAUUUUUUGUGGUGAAAAACAAUUUGGGAAAAUCGUAACCGAUGCUUUGCUGAUAAACCUAAUGGCCGACUUUUCUGGGCGUUGCUUGACUUUUACGUAUCAUUGGGGCAAGAUAAACUGCGUGCGUGGUAAGAAAAAUGAUGUCCUAAUCAUUUUCAUGUCUAGCUAGUCGCUUCCGAUCCAAUCCAAGAAUAAAUACUUUUACUGCCAUCAUCUACUUAGAUCCUGUGCACACAAGGAAAUGGCUUCCUCGUCCCUUGUUAUCCGUCGUUUGUAUCCAGCUGACAAGGUAUUGAAGCAUAAUUAUUCAUGGAUAAAUAUUUAUACAACAGAUAAAGGGACACUAUCAGUGUGUGAUGUAAACACACAGUAUCAUUUUUUUUAACUUUCAUUUAUUACCCCAAUCUUAAGGGUAAAAUUGUCCCAAAUAGAUUAAAAAUAUUUUUUUUCUGUUUUUUUUUAAUAAUGUAAGUAAGAGAUUUCGAAAUCGGACCUCUUAUUUACAUUCUUAUUCCCCUCUUCAAUUUAGUAAGUUGUACAAUGAUUCAUCAUCAACUAUGACUCCGGAUUCAUUACCUUUGGAAGAUAAUUUUUUAAUCAUGGCACAUAUAAGUGUCAAUCACUAGUUGUAAAUAGCAUUAAUUUUUCCUGUGUCAUAAGUGUAAAAUUAUUUUAUACUAGCAAUUACUCAUGCAUGACAAAUAAUUUCCAUUCAAAAUUUGAAUAAAGCAUGUUUAGUAUGCAUCUAAACCCUCUCGUAUAAGAAAAAAAAAUCUACAUGGCACAAAUAUGAGAAAGAUUAAAUCCAAUUAGGCAUUAUAGUGUAGUACUUUAAGGUACAAUCAUGCUCUCCAUGUUCAAUAAUGCAAUUAAAGAAGGAAAGUAAAAUACAAAAUGCAAUCAAACAUAAUGCAUUUGUUAGUAUUAAUUUCAAGAAACAUAUCAGAUGAGAUUUUACAACUUCAACCCAAAAAAAAAAAAUUUUUUUUUCCCAACCAAUCUGUUUGGAUUGUGAAUUAUUAGAGAUAUUUUCACUGUAACACUUUUUGUGAUGUGAUGCAUGUGAGAUAAAAAAGUAAUUGAGAAGGUAAAAAGAUGUAUUGAAAAUUAUAAUAAUGAUGUAAACAAAUAAAUUUGGAAAAAUAAAACCCAAUCCAAACAAACCUGCUAGCAUACAAGUUCAACCAAUUGGCGUAGGAAACACUGGACUCUCGCCAUAUCGGGCUCCAUUAACGAGGCCCCAGUGAGAACAUUUGGACUGUAGGGUAUUUGCCAGUUACGGACCCAAUCGUAGUCAACCAAACCCUAAGCCAAUAAGAUGUUAGGCUUUGAGCAACUAGACAGGGUCCAGUCAUCACAGCAGAGUUUGAGCAAUCCAGCUAAACUUGUGGUCCCCAGCCUGAUCAGACACAGACUGCCCAACCAUGCAGGGGCCUUCUCGUCAAUUUACUUUGGAAAGUAUCAAGUUCUUGUGGUAACAAAUAUUCAAAGGGUAAGAACAAAAGUGAAAGGAUGAUGAGGGAAGCUUGAAUUUCAAAAAUUUGACUACCAAGAAAGGAAUAUUACUGUUAUAAAAUAAUAAUAAUAAUAAAGAAAGAAAGGAAUAUUACUGUUCAUCACUACUCCCCCGUGAUGAGUAAUAUCAGGCGUAUAGCCAAGUUACAUAAUGAGUUACGAACUAUUUUUUUGUUAUAUUUAAAUAUUUCUUGACUCCAGGUAUGUAGCUUCAAUUAGGCUCAAGGAUCCUAUCUGCAACCAUUUGGGAUGGGAUUUAUGUUGAUUUGGCAAAAUUUGUUUCUAAUUUGAAAUUUUACACUUGAGUGGCAUGAUUGACACUCUUGAUUAGGCCUUGCUUGGAUUGCGAUUUUCUGUCGAAAAAUUACGUCAUUUUUCGUGAUCACAUUUCCCUAUUACCUUUUUUCCUCACAUACAUCAAAUCGCUACAGUAAUUUUCCCAUGAAAAAUGCAAUCAAAACACAACCAACGGUGAGUUUCACAAAACAAUGAGUAAAUCUUAUAUACAUUGACGGUAUAUACACUAUUACGGUUAGAUAUAUAACACAUAUACAAAAUUUGAAUUUCAAAUUCAAAUUCAAAUUAUGUGUCAUACAUCUAAUGAUAAAAGUGUAUACACUGUCAGUGUAUAUAAAAUUAAUCCCAAAACAGUACUAUCAGGAAUUUGCACAUAAACGUUUACAACAAUAGUUAUUACUGCAAAUGCAUUUCUUAUACUAAAUUCAAGAACAAUUUUCUUUUUUUUUUUUACGGUAACUAUAAUAUUUCUAUAACCUAAUCUAUUAUAAUUUACAGAAAGGGAAGCCUAAAGAGACUAUGUAUAAGAAGCUAGUAAAUAUAAAAAUCUGACCAGAUCAAAAGGAUGUUUUGACAGUUCUUUUGAAUUUUUUUCAGUGUAAGUGCAAUUCAACUCCCACCUAUAGUCCACAGAGUAACUUGGCCCCAGUUUUUUGUCUCAAUGGUUCAAGAACAAUUGUCAUUUAUAAUUGUUCUUGCUUUUGCCUCUCUUCCCUUCAAUUCAUGAGCAGACUUCUAAAUAAAUAAGGGCUGCUUUGACUCAUUUGGAGUUACACCCUAAGCUGGUGAAAUCUUUCUCUUUGAAAAAUUGAAACCCUCAUAAGUGACUGUCAUCUGGCGAAGGAUGUGGUUAUUUUUUUUAUAUACAAAUUGAACUGCCCAUCUACAAUUUCUAAUUGCGAAAUGUAGGGGGGAAUAAAGAGAAAUGAAAGAUAGAGUUGUCUAAUAUUUGUUUGAAUUAUCCUCCUUUUUUGUCGACACUUAAGGAGUUUUGGUUGAAAUGAAAGUGCUACAAUAUUAUUAUUUUUUUAUUCUCUCAGUCAUUCUUUUUAUCAUCAUACAUUAUAUCACAAAAAAUCCUACACUAUUAUUCUCACAAAAUUUUUUUAAUUAACUUCCAAUCCAAAAUUCCAACCGCAGAAAUAUAUGUUUCACCAAGGAUCCAAAACAGUUAUGUUGAAAAUGCUACGAGGAAAUGGAGUCCAAAUUGAAAUAAAUUGUUAUGCUUUAAUCGAGGGACUCAAAUUGUAUUGACUUUAUCCAAAAAAAAAAAGAUAAAAAAUUGAAGAAUUAAAAAAAAAUUAGCAUGAGCAUUCAUUUGGAGAAAUACUACUUGUUAAGAAUGCAAAAUAUGAGUAAACUUAUGAAUUGCAUUCCAGGUUAAUAAAACACAUUGACAGUAAAAAGUUUUUCAAGUGAAAAUUUAGGCUGAUUUUACCUUAAAAAACCAAAAAAAAAGGAAAAAAAAAACAGGCUGAUUUAAUGAAUUUUACCAAAGAUGCAAAAGAGAGUGGGGCCACAUCAAGAUUGUUCUAUUGUACAUCCCUAAAUGGGCACGUGAUCUCAGUCAAUGACCCAGGCGACAACCAGUGAUUCUCCCCUGCUGAGUGCUGACCCCAAAAUCACAUGAAUUAAUAUUAUAAAAAAAAGAAAAUUAAGAAAUGUGCCAAGAAACUUCUUUAGGUAAAAUUUUCAUUAUGUGAAAAUUUUUGUAGCAAGUGAAAGUGGUCUGUAUUUAUCUUGAAAACUCCUCCAUUUUGCUUUUGGAUUAAUACACGGAUUAAGUGGGAAUAAGUGAGGAGGUUUAUUCGUUUUUCCCGUACAGCAAAGCCUUUUUUAGUGUGUUCUCAUCAAGAAAACUUGAAUGGUUAAAUACACCUAGAAAAUUAACUAGUAGAAGAAAUAGAAAAUCCUUAAUCAUUACUUUAAUUGCAUCAAUGGUCUGAAAACCGACCUUUUUACUUUGGUACACUAAUGUUCAUGGUUUGGGGGUCACUGAUCACAUUUAUGAUUUACUUUUACCGUGGUCAUGGUUUCGGUACACUAAUGUUAAUGUUUGAAUAGAAGAUUAUUUGAAAUAAUUAUUGUAACACAUUUUAGGAUGCGAUGUAUGUGAAAUAAAAAUAUUAUUAGAAAGAUAAAAAGUUAUUCGAAUUUUUUAAAAAGAAUUUUAUAAUUUUGUGAAUAUAUUUUUCAAUCAUCUUUUUGUUUCAUAUACAUAAAAUCGUUAUAGUAUAUUUUUCUAUAAAAAUUUUAUAUAAAAACAAUCCAAAUGGGAUAUAUAAUAAUAGUUCUUAAAAUAACAAAACAUCUUUUAGCAGGCUGUAGAAGUAAAAAUUUAACACCUUUUUCUUUUGGCACACAAGAGGUGACUUUCUGAACCAGUGUCACAUUGAUCAUUGAUGUCAAGCUCAAGCACCAUGCCUUUUCCUUUCUUUUUCCUCUUUCCCUCUUUUAUUUCUGCCAGAUAUAUGCUUUCAUUUUUUGUUUUUCUCGUUUUUUCCCCCUCAAUCAGUUGUGUGUUAUUUUACCUUCAUCAAUACCUCUACCAUAAUUUUCCCAAACAGCCCAUAAGAAUCCCCUAAAUGCUAAAUAUCCUUACCCCACUUGCAACUAUACUAGUAGUAGUAUCCCACAUCCAUAUUUUUCUUCUCUUCUCCUCUUCACUUCACUUGUUUUUUGUUUGCAGUCUUCUCUACCUUUGCCUCCCUCCUCUGCCUCACAGCUUCUUUCCCUUGCCUGAACUUCUUAACCUCAAAUGGUGAGGAUUAUUAACCUCAUCAAAUCUCAAUCCAGUUCUUGAAUCAUUCCUCACUUUUGAUUGUUUUUUAUCUGGGCUUUUACUAUUUCUCUGUCAGAUCAAAGCCUUUUCAUUUUCUUAUCACUUGAACAAUUUCUUGUUGCUUCUUUACUUUGUUUACUUUUGCACAUAGGAAAACCCAUCUCGAUUUUGGUUUUCUUUGAUUGGAAUUUUUAUAAAGAUGUGCUGAAAAGAGGUUUUUGGUUGAAGAUGCAAAUGGUGGCUGUUUCCGUUUCUUAUGAGGUCUGCUUCAGUUGGUAUGUUUCAUUCUGUAUGAAAGGUUGUGCAAUGGAUUUAUUGGAAAGAUUUGAUCUUUUUCAGUUUGUUUGGGUGGUCUGUUUUGAGCUUCAAAGAUUCCAUUUUGAUUGUUUUCAAGCAUGUUUAAGUAAAGCAGUCUUAAGUUCUUUUGUUGUAUGGUUGCUAUGCAGACUUUGUUUUUCUCAGUAUAUGGUUUCAAUCAUAGGAUAAUCUGCUUUUUGUCUUGGAUGUUAUUGUUGUAUUGGAUUGAUUAUGUAGUGAUUUUCUUGGAACUGCCAUUGGCUUGUUUUCUUUAGGCUCUGAAGUUUCGGUUUUACAGCUUUGCUUAUUAGUUAGGCGCUAUUUUAUAACAUCCGAAUACACAUGAUGCUUUUACACUAAUUAGUCAAAGUUCCAACCUUUAUGUGUUUCCUGGGCAUGAGAGCAAAUAUGGAUUUGUAUGCUUGCCAGGAAACAGAGCUUUUUGGGUUUUCUUAUAGUCGUUUGCUUAUUGGUGAAUCUGAGGAGAUAUCCGUUUCCAAGAUUUAUUUUUGGUUCGUUUUCUAGUGUGUGGUUAUAUUUGUUGAGUUAUUGUGAUUGAUCCUUCUCAGUAUUUAAAGUUUCAAUAGAAAGUCGUGAAAUUUGUUGAGUUGUUUGAAGUUAUCUGAUUUUCUUUUUCCGGGCAGGUUCUUCUGCAGAGAUAAUUAAUUUUUGCCCAAGUUUUUUUUUGCUUUCUCUGAAAAAUGGGUAGAGGGAGAGGAAAGGGUAAGAAACAAUUGAGUACUGCUGCUCGUGAAGAUGCCGGAAGUGGUGAGGAGGAGAAAUUACCGGUGAGGAGAAGGGGAAGGCCACAGAAACCACUGAAGGAUGACAUUGAGGAAGAUGAAGAUGUUGAGAAGAUAGAAGAAGAAGAAGAAGACAGUGAAAGUGCAAAGAGCUCUGUUUUAAAUAAAGAUAGCAAGAAUCAACCCACUGUUGAGAAUGGCCGGAAGAGGAAAAGGGCUUCGCAAGUCAAGGAAAACUUAGAUUCUAUCAAAGAGGAAAAUGGUGUGGGAAACAAGACUAACACUAAUGAAGCAGUGAAGUCUGUUGGAUUCAGACAGAACGGCAGCAGAAGAAAGAACAAGCCUCGUCGGGCUGCUGAAGUUGGUGUGGAGUGCAGAUGAAUUUUGUGCUCAUUAUUGGAGAGCACAAAAAUUUGGCUUUCCAUUUUAUUUUGCCAUUUGUCGUAUUUUGUUGUGUUUGAUAGUCUCAACUGAAAAUUUUAUUAUCAAUCAAUAUUCUGUGAUGAUAUCAAGAAGCCUUUGGUUUUACCAAUUACCAGAUCAUCAUGUCAGAUAUGUUGUCUAAUCUUUUCCUUUUGCACUUGAAGUCUGAAGCAAGCUGAAUCCAACGUAGGUGUAAGUUCUUCUGCGAUGGCAUUUUGUUUUGGCAUGGUUUAAGUAGCUUCUUUUGGUUUAGCAUCCCUUGUAUAAUCUUCUUGAAGCCUGCUCAUUGCUUUGCUUGACACGUUUGUGUACAGCAAUGAAGCACGUAUGAAAAAAUUCCAGGUGGUUGGCUAUUAAAAAAAAAAAAAGGAAGAUUAUUGCCAUAGGUUCAGGUGCAAACGACUCUACGAGUGCAGAGAUUCUCCUGCCUGGAGAUAUCAGGUAAAGUACAAGAAGAUCUUUGCUCUUUCUGGCCAAUAUUUCUGUUUCAAAAUUGACUAAACUGCAGAAGAACUUGGGAGAUUUGCCCCAGUGGAGAUUUCAGGUAACAUACAAGUGUUCUUCUUGUUUGUUACUUCAGAUAACUUAAUUGCAAGGCUCACUUUAGCUGUUUGAUUUAGAAACCUUGAGGUUCUUUGGCUUUUUUGAUAUAUGAAUUUUUGACCUUUCAUGAUGUCAGUGACACAGUCUGUACAGUCACCGAUGCUUGCUUGUGAUAUAGGAAAAGAAAUUAUUUUGAAGCUUGGUCUUCCUACAGUGCAAAUUGUUCAAUCAUAUAGUUUGUGCUGGGACAUUUUGCAUGAAAUGAGAUGGUACAAAAUAAAGGCUUGGGGAAAAUGGAUGAAGUUCUAUUUGCAUCUUCUCUCUGGAUUUUUUUGGCUGCAUUGAUGUUUUUGGCUAAUAUUGUACAGGUACUAAGUUCUACACAUGAAACAUUGUGAAAAGAUUGGUUUUCUCUCAUUGAACAAUUUGAAUCUGUUUUCACGUAUGCAGACAUGUCUAGAUAGAUGCACAUGCGUGCGGAACCAUUGUGCCUCGUAUUCUUUUCUUGCUGCAGUUUGUUACAGCAAAUGAAGGAUAUUAAGGUACUUCACUGCUUUGCAAAAGUUUGCAGAUGGAUUUAUUAGUUAUUAGUGGGAUGAUAAUCAGUAUUCUGAUCUAUUGAGGAAUCGUUUCUUGCAUCUGUUUCAACCACAAAUCUGUUGCAUGAGGAAUUGGCAUGCUAGAGUUUCUAUUACAAACCUGCAUAAUUGGUCAAGGUGAAAGGAAGAUUUCGGGAUACAUGGUUCAGUUACUCAGCUAUUGGCAACAAAACUAAGCACAAGCAGACUAAAUUUCUCAUGAAUUGUACUUGUAAUUCUUGUCGAAUGGAGUUGAUUGUCAAGUCCCCAUGGCCAAAUUUCAUUUCAUCUGAGUGCCUUCCAAUCUAUAGGCAUUUAACUCUCCCUCCUGUUUAAUUUUCAAGUACAGAUCAUCUUGCAAAAAUUGAGCCUAAAUGUUCAACCUAUUCUGACAAUCCUAUCAAUAAAGUUGCUGGGAUAUGAAUUGAUGGGAGGGGUCAAAAGGCGGAGUUCUGUUUUCGUUUGUUUUGGUUUAGUGAGCAGUUGGGCCUUCCGAAUGACCAGAACGUCAAAAGGCCUCAUUGUCUUUUGUACUUUUUUGGGGAUUAGCAUCAAUCAUUGGGGGCCUUUAACUCUUUUACUUAACAAUUUCACCAAAGGAACUUGACUAUGAUACCCACCCAUUAUUGUCUUUUUCCUUUUUCUUUAUUUUUUUUUUUGAAAAAAUAAAUCCCUGGAGACUUCGUUUGGGCAUCUGCUAGUUAGCAAAAUUCAGAAAAGAAGAAAUUUGCACCUAAAAAAAUAAUAAUAAUAAGCAAUGCUAAAUAGACAUUGGUGGUUGCCAAGUUGGGAUGCAUAAGCAAGUUGGUCCGGUCCCUUGUAAGUUUUCAAGGAUUAGGUGACCAGGAGAAGGGGUUCUUGGCAACCAUAAUCUUUGGUAAAUAAGGAAAUGUAGUAAGAGUGUGGAAGUAGGAUUGUGGACCAGAGAAAAGUAAAACACUAAAUUUAGACUUGUGGCUAGCCAGGGCAGGCAUCUGGAAGUUGGUUUUUCCAGCAAAACAGAUAACUGCAGUAAGAAAUUGGAAACAAUAAUUAUUUUGAUGACUACAUUGUCUAAAUUAAAAAAGGUCGAAUCAUUUCUUCCCCAAAAAGAGAAGUCUAUGUUUGAUAGAAAAUAAAUCCAAUACUUUUGUUGGAUUGUUGAUCACAAUGUUUUUUUUUUUUUUUAUGGAGAAGACAAUCCUAUGUAAUUUAAAAAGGAAGUGUAGACGAAGGAAUGGACAUUUUAAAAUUGAAAGGGGGCAAAGUGAUUAAGGAAUGAAGUUUACAAAAUUGAGGUGACAGGGGGGCGAAUAAGAUACAAAAUUGAAAAUAUUCUUUAAUAUCAAGCCUAUUGUGCAAUUUUCAAAACUUUAGGGAGGAGUGGGCAAUUGCCUACCUACCCUCAUAUGUGUGCAUACCUCCGCCUAUAUUCAAAGUGCUGACAAUAUGAUUAACAUUGGUUUUGAAAUUUAAGCUCUUUUUACACAAUUUAUGAGUUCAAAAAAAAAAUUUGUGAUUAGUUUACCCAAAUCAUUUAGAGUCCACAAAAAGGUGCUGAAAAAUUGACCAAACAAGGAAUCACAAAAUCAAAAAAAAAAAAAAGAAAAAGAAAAAACGCACGCGGUUUUAUGCACGGAAUUCAAUUAUUCACCGUGUUGCAACCUAGACUUUGGUUGAGGGGGUUAACAUUUCCCGACGCCUGUGUGGUCAUUUUUGUUCCUUCCGUUCCGUUGUUACUAUUUGCUUUCUUGGGAAUUGGAGGUGGUGUUUCUGAAUAUGAAAUAGCUUUUAUUGAAUUUGGAAAUAAGAAAAAAUGUUUCCAAAAAAAAGACUUUUUCUUUUCUAAAUUUUUUUCUCUCACGCUCCUCUCCACACCCUUCCUCCCAAGAACUAGAAGGAAGAUUUGAAUCCUGAAUUCGACCGCGACAAAAAGUCUAAGAGCUCUCUCCUUAUAGAUGCGAUAUUAGAUUGACUAAAAUUUUAAAGUCUCAUUAGAUUUAUAUAUGCAAAUUUGAAAAAAAAAAUUAUGUUAUAUAUCAUGGUUGUUUUGUAUAUAUAACAUCAUGCUUACUCAAAUUGUAAGUUUUACCAAUAAUUGAAGUAUUAUUCGUGAAGUAUAAUAGCAAAAAGGUUAUUACGUGUUUUGUAUGAUUAGCAAAAAAGUACGAAUAUCUUUCAAGGAUUAAUUUUUUAUCCACUGAAAAUGUAAUGAUUUUUUUUAUACUAACAACUUCGGAUGUAUAUCAUACGUGCAUGAUUUGAAUUCUAAAUUUGAAUUCUUGUUAUAUGACAAAUGUAUUUUAGAGUAUUUUAUAUGAAAUACAAAAAAAAAAAUUUAAUUAUGCAUGGGAACGUAUAUUAAACGUGCGUAAUACAAAUUUGUUACUAACUGUGCUAUCUAGGGCAUCCACGUGAUGGAUUUAAAGCCGUUGUUGUAGAAAAAAAGUGCGAAAAAAAUUCUUUAAUUAAAAAUACAAUGUGCAUUGAAUUACAGUACAACUCUUAUUAGACAAAUUACACCGAGAAACAUGCAAAACUAUAAGCUGAGUGAAAAUCAUAGUUAUGAGACACAUAAUUAAUACAAGUCCAAGUAUAGUAACUGGAGACUCGACUUUUGACCCAAAAAAAAAAAAAAAUGAUCGUACACCAAGACACAUAAUUAAUACAAGUCCAACUUGGCUCGACUUUAUCGUACUAAAAUGGCAAAUGUUUGAUAGUAUCACAUUCCAGCAGUGAAUAAAUCUUGCUCGUCAAAUUGAUCCUAACUGCACAAGUGAAAUCAAUUAGGAUCAGUUUUAAGUACUAUAUAAGGCUUAAUGAGUCAAAUAAAUGUUCCUAAAAUCGAGACGCUAAACAAAAUGAAAUUCGUCAGAGGUACGGUUGAAUAUAAGCAUGGUGUGGUUGAAUAUAAGGGUCCAUAUAUAUGUUGAAGAAGAGUAAAUGAAGUCAUCAUGGGUUGAACGAUAAACUGAAGUAAAAUUCAAGAAAGAAACUAUAAUUGUUUAAGGAUAAAUUAAAGUAAAAUUCCAGAAUGAAACUAGAAGUGUUGACAAGAGAGACAUACCUGAUCAACCAUGCUUGGUCCGAUGAAACAUUACGGACAUUAAUAGAGGGUAUAUGGGAGACUUUGUCAAAAUCCUGUCCCUGAUCUUCAUGACCAUUUGUUGCUUGGAUCCUAUCUGUGAAUUUCUUUGGCAUCCGCACAAUGUUCAACUCUUUCAGAGUUGUAACGAAUUUCAAUCCACUGGGAACCAUCUCCAGAUUUAGGCAAUAUACAAUCGUCAAGACCGAAAGGUUGGGCAUGGCUCCUUCAUCAACAUUCCACUUCUCUAAGUUCGGUAGACGCUCAAAACGAAGAAAUCUAAGUUGGCCAAAACCCGUUGCCUUGCACCUCAUCUCUUUGCCGAGAAAAGAUCUAUAUUGCAAGUGAAGUGAUCGUAGAUUAGGAAGCCUUUCCAGUGUCUCCAUGGGAUCUUCCUCUAUGUCGAGCCAGGAUAGCAUCCACGUAAUUGGCCGGAAGAUACAAGUGCCUAAGCUGUCUCAUCUUCCAAAGAACAUUAGGUAUUCUACACACUCCAGCCCGUAAAUCAAGUGUCUGCAAGUUUUGUAGGUUGCCCAAGGACGAUGGCAAACAGAGGAAAAUUGAACGUCUCAAACUCAAGUAUCGCAGGUGGAUCAGCUCCCCAAUAGCUUUUGGGAGCCUCAAGUGAUCUGCUACUUGGAGAAAUUCACUUUUAAGUGUGCGAUCUUCAGAGAACGCAGGACGGAUCCCUUCAAUGGCCAACACUCUGAGCAUUUUGAAAUUAUUGAAUUGAGACUUCAUUUUCUUAGGAAGACGCCCUUCAUAACCAUCAUUACCUGAGACCAACAAGGCGAGUGACCUCAGGUGCCUAGUAUGUCUCUUCUCAGCUGGAGGGACAUAUUUCCUUACAUCCUCCUUAGAAAAAUGGACGGCUAGACGGUAAACUUGUGAGUGAUCAUUAUUGCCAUACUCAUUGAGAAUUCCAUCAUGAUAAUAGCUUUUGGAUAACAAGAAAUUCUCCUCUUUGGCCUUGACCAAACUGAGGUCUCUCAUUAAGUCAUGAAGGCGACACGAUGCAAAUGAUCUUCCAGCGGAGGACAGCAUCACAUCAUCAUCAUCAGGGGCUUUACCUUGAACCAUGCACCGUGUUACUAAUUCUCCCAGGUAUCUUUCUGCUACAUCCAUCAUUGAUUCUUCACCAAUCUGAUCUUUUGUUGAUAUUAUACCCUCUGCAAUCCAUAACUGGUACAAUUUCUCUGUGCCUAUGUCAGAGUCUUCUUCAUAUCUACUCAGGUAAAGGAAGCAAGGCUUCAAUUUGUAGGGCAAGUCAUUGUAGCUUAAAGCUAAUAUCUUGUGCAGAUUUCCUUCUUCUUUGAUCAAGUUGUUUCCUCUUCCAAGAUGAGCUUUAAUGUUUCUAUUGACAGUCGCCCACUCAUUCAGGUCCUUCUUGGUGGCAAGAGUUCCGCUGAGUACUAUCACAGCCAAUGGAAGACCCCCACAUGCUUUCACCAUUUCCUUCCCCAAGUUUUCCAAUUUUUUUAAAUCUUCAUGUUCUGUCAAAGAGAGAUGAUGAGUAGUUCUGUUAGUCUUAUUACUUAAAAGACAGAAGUGUCGAGUUGCUCAAUGUAUGUGCAGUACAUUGAAUUAACAAUUUAACAUUUCUGUUUAGCAUCAUGAAUAUAUGUGUGUGCGCGUGCACGUAUAUAUAUAUAAGAAACUCUGAGAAAAAUUGAAACUAUUCCAUUGAGAAACAAAAAAUAAGAAACUUAGAGAAAAAUUUAGCCAAUUCCAUUGAGGAAGGAUCAUCUGUUGUUGUUUUUGUUUUGUCAAUAAAAUUUGGAGCAGAAGACAUGUAAAGGGAUGUUUAUACUUUCGGGUGAAACAGAGGAUUUGCCUGUGUUUCGGGAAUUUCUCUCUCCGUGUACGUUGUGUGGUUAAAUCAAUAAAAGUUGUGAGCUUAACAAAAAAGGGGCAAAAAGAAAAAAAGAGUAUAGCCCCAAAAGAGGGGAAAAUACUCCCACACUUUCUAGUCCAAUUAAUCAUAUAACUGCUCAUCAAGCACUCACAAAAAGGCGUGGUCCACUUUGCGAGACCCGGUCUCUACACCGCUGUUCAUAAAAAACCAAAAAAAAAAAAAAUUUUACUUUAUACUCUAAUAAUUCAAAUGCAAUCUUCUUUUUGGGAGAAAUCAGUAAAAUAUUCGUCUUUCCUUCUCUUGCCUCUUUUCAUUAUUUUUUUUUAAUGAUUUCUUUUCUUCAAUUACACGGUGUACCAAUAAGGAUAGCCACAACAAACAAACCCUCAAAAUCCACAAGUUUAUCAUCCCUUGAUCAAGUAGGGCCCAAUUUAGCAAACUAAUAAAAAAAAUAAAGAGUGUUUUAAGAAAUCAAGUACCUCCAUGAAACCUGCCCCGUAAAGCUUUCCUCUGAAGCAGCUGCCAACUUUCGUCCUCACUUAAAAAGCGCGGUUGGUGGUGAAAACCAUUGGGAUCAAUAUGCAAAGCCACAUCUUUAUUGCGAGAGGUAACUAAGAUCUUGCUUCCGUCGUUUCUAAUUGGAAAUGCUUGCUUUAUACAUUCCCAUGGUUCUGUGGCCCAAAUGUCGUCAAGAACCACAAGACAUUUCUUAUUUUGCAGGAUUUGAAAAAGUUGUCUGACCAGCUCCUCAUCCCUCCACUUCACUAUUUCUUCUCUCUUUUCUGGGAUUAGGCUUAGCAAGAUCCGUUGCAAUAUGUCUUCCUUUUGCCAAGUUUGUGAUACAUAUACCCAAGCAAUGCCAUCAAAGCAGCGCCUCACUUUAGGGUGAUUGUAUACCUUUUGGGCAAGAGUUGUCUUUCCCAACCCCCCCAUCCCACAGAUGGAGACAACUCUAAAGCGUUGAUCAAUCUCAUGAUCAUGAUCAUGAUCGCCUCCCCUCAACAGAUGCUUUACCAGCAUCUCAACAUCAUCCUCCAAUCCAACAAAGUCAUCCUCGACAACAUGGGAAUAUGUCCGCCUCAAUUGUUGAUGCGAUGAACUACUUGCGCCGUCCUGUCUUGCGAUCCCAUAUUCCUGAAAACUUUUGGUAAGAUCAGAGAUUUUCGUUUUCAGAGUCUGAAUACCCGUUCCUGUGGUGUGCCUAGCAUAGCACUCAUUCAGGAUACCAACACAUCUCUUUGCGGUGCCUCGGAUACGGGGCAGGAGCGGUCCUCAGACGACCGCUCCUGAACGGUCUCCUCACAAUAAAAAACGUGAGGAGACAAAUGAGCCAAGUCAGCAAGGCUGAAGCAGGGCACAAAAACGGCACCGUUCCAAAUAAAAAAAUGUUGACUUCCAAACGUGAGCAAACGGAGCAAACGGAAGAGAAGUAGAUUUUGAAAUUCAAGUUGAAAUUUUGAAUUAGCCGCAGAAAACAAAACUGAGGGAAGAGUCUUGGCGUGCUUCUGAAGGAGCUCUACUCUGACAGUCUGACCGACCGCUCAUUGAAGGUAGAAAGCUGAAGUUCGAGUGGAAUUCGACUUACUAGCUCUUUCUAGUGAAGUGAGUGUAGUCUACAUUGAUGAAAAUAGCAAUUGACAGAAAAGUGAGUGGAAAGGCAGGCGGCAAAGAAGAAGCAAACAGAGAUGAAGCCAAAGUUUGGACGGAAAACUGAAUAGCAGAAGCAGCUGUGGUUUUCAACUGGGUAUAAGAGUAUUGUAUCUAUUUUGAAUGCGCACAAGGCAGGCGGUAAGGUAGAAGCAAACAGAGGAAGGACAAAAUCUCACGAAGCCAGAUUUUGUCCUUCAACUUAAUAGCAGAUGCAGCUACGCUCUCCGACUUCGGUGAAACGUGAAGCGUAUUAGCAGACCAAGGUAACAUGACUGAACCAUGUCAGUAACUGUGGCCAAUAAUUUGUCACCCAAAUGCACAUCUGUUAAAUGAAGGAUGAAAUUAGAGUCACUGAAGACAUAAUAUGAAGAUGAUACAAGAAUAGUGAAGUUGUACUAUAUUAAAUAUAUGUACCGUAUCUGUGUGUGUGACCAUUUAGUUUUUCAGUGAUGAACUAUAAAGAGAUAGUAGUUUUUGGAAGACCUAGGGGUAUGUAUUCAAGUAAACCAUCGAACGGAAUUAAGGAAAGAUGAGAGAAACAAAGUCACAUUUAACAAGUGAAUGAAUGUACAUCUUGUUGUAAAUUAGUUACAUGUUAUAGCCACCGUAUUACAAUUGAUAUGAAUCAUUGUGCAUCUAGUAAUUGAUCCAUGCUCAUGGAGUAAUAUUAGUUUGUCCCUCUCUUGACCGUGUAGUGUGUAUAAAAUAGAGGUGUAGAGUUGAAUGAGGUGAAACUGAGGAAAAGACAUAUAUGUGAAUAAUAAAUGGGUGAACCUUGUAUUGUAAGUAAAUUACAUGAUGUAAAAAAUAUAUUACAAUGAGUAGAAAGUGAUUGUUUGGCCCUCAAAAUAUAGAAAUAGUAGAAAAUGCGGAGUUGGCUUAUGCGGUUGUUAUUAACGAAUGACAUAAGGUCCAGUGAGCUAAAGAAUCUAGAAUCAAAAUAUAAUCACCAGCGUGGAUGUACAUACAGUUAAAAUAGACUUACAUCGUGUGACCAAUACAUUACAAUCCGUAUAAGUUAGUGUACAUGGAGUUGUAUUUGUACACAGAUUGUCUUAGAGUAAAAGUAAGAUGAUGUGAAUCAUUAAUCAUAUUGAUAGCGUAAUAAUAGAAUUUGGUAUACGAGUAAUGUAUGAUUCAUAACACAUUAUGAAUGGUAAUAUACAUUUAUGUUGUCGUUUAUGUACAUACAAUUCAUGAAGUGUUACAAAUUAGGGUGUUUGAUGCAUAAUUGGCAGGAUCAGAAGUAAUGGAUUGCAGCAAAUUGGCAGAAGAUGGGACCCCUGGGUUAGGAAUGGAGUUCAACAGCGGAGAGGAUGCGUACAAGUUUUACAACAAAUAUGCCUUUAAAAUGAGUUUUAGUGUACGUAAAGACUAUCUGAAUAAAGACAAAGACGGCGUGACCACGUCUAGGAGAUAUAGUUGCUGCAAGGAAGGUGUGAAACGCAAGUACGAAGGUGAUGUGAUGCCAAAGAGGACACGAGCUCCGACGAAAACAGGGUGUGGAGCUAAAAUGGUUAUUGUGUUGUUUAGAGGAACAAUGAAGUACCGUGUGCAUGAUCUUGUUUUAGAGCAUAACCAUGAGUUGCACAUUGCUCAAUGUGCGCACAUGAUGUCAUCACAAAGAAAAGUGAGCGAAGCUCAAGGAUUCCAAGCUGAAAUAAGCGAGGACGCUGGGCUUUCAUUGAAACAGAGCCAUGAGCUUAUGGGAAAGGAGACAGGUGGGAUGGGAAAUGUGGGAUAUACUCGGGAAGACCUGAAACGAUAUCUUCGUACUCGACGGGAAAGGAGUUUGAAAUAUGGAGAAGCAGGUAGCAUGCUGAAUUAUUUUCAAGAACAAACACUCGAGAAUCCAUCAUUUUUUCAUGCCGUACAGCUGGACUGUGAAGAGCAGAUAACGAAUAUCUUUUGGGCUGAUGCAGGAAUGUUAAUUGACUACAAAUUUUUUGGAGACGUAGUCACAUUCGACACAACCUACAAAACAAAUAAAGAAUACCGGCCACUUGGAGUGUUUGUGGGUUUUAACCAACAUAGGCAAAUUGUGAUAUUCGGUGCUGCCCUUAUGUAUGAUGAGACUAUAGAUUCUUUCAAAUGGGUGUUUGGUACAUUUCUAGAAGCAAUGUGCGGAAAGCGUCCAAGUACCAUACUAACCGACCAAGAUCAUGCCAUGGCAGCCGCUCUUUCAGUUGUUAUGCCUGAAACAUUUCACGGUCUAUGUACGUUUCACAUAAGGCGUAAUUUUAUGAAACAUCUUGGCAAUCACUACAAGGAAAAUAGUGAUCUUCCAUACAUGUUUGGUGCCUGCAUGUAUGAGUUGGAAGAAGUGGAACAAUUCAAUAGGGUGUGGGAGGCGAUGGUGAAGAAACACAAUCUUGAAAAUAAUGAAUGGCUCUCCGGGUUGUAUAAAAUUCGUGAUAAAUGGGCAAGGUGCAUGAUGAAAGAAAGAUGGACCGCGGGAAUGCGAAGCACCCAACUCAGCGAAAGCCUAAAUGCAGCAAUUAAAAAUCAUUUGAAACUGGAUCAUGACCUUGUGCAGUUCUUUAGACAUUUCAAUCGGGUGGUUGAUGAAAAGAGACAUAAUGAACUGAUUGCAGAAUAUGAAAUGAGGCAAAAGCUCCCCAUGGUAGGGUUAAGGCAAACACCUAUGCUUGUGCAUGCAUCAGAGACGUAUUCACCAACCGUAUUUGUUGCAUUCCAAAAUGAAUAUGGCGAGUCAACAGCUAUGGUUAUAUUGAGACAACAAGAUGCAGCGAUGUUUGUGGAGUUUGCGGUCAUGAGGUAUGAUGGAGGACCUGAAAGAAUAGUAGUAUUCAAUCGGAAUGAUCUAAGUGUAUAUUGCAGUUGCAAAAAAUACGAGAAUGAAGGCAUUUUAUGUGGGCACGCGUUGAAGGUGUUUGAUACCGUGGGAAUAAAAAUAAUUCCUCCUGAAUACAUUAAGAGGCGAUCGACAAAAAGAGCUCGGGCUGGAGACUGUUUUGAUCGGCGAGAACAGGAAGUUGUGGCUGAUCCUAAAGUAAUGAUUUCAACUCGUUAUCGGGAGCUUGCUCCAGCCAUGAUUAAAGUCGCAACUCGAGCAGCAAUAUCGGAGGACACCAGCAAAGUAGUAAUCACUGUCAUAUCCGAUUUGUCAAAGAGAGUUGAGCUCCUCCUCUCAAAAAGCGAAGAGCAACCUUUGCAAAAUCAAAAAAAUCUGAAUAUGGAGGAACGAGAUAAAAUUGAAAUUGUAAAUGAAAUGGGGGAGGCAGUAGUCGCAAGAGGCAUUAAAAAACGAGGCGGUGGGAAGAAAAGUAGAGUGAUGCAAAGUUGGGUCGAUAAAUUUGACAGAGUAAAAAGAAAAUCUAGAUUAUCAAGAACUACACAGACUACGGUAUGGAUCAAAUUUUGGUACUUGGGAAACAUUUAUGCUAAAACUAAGUUAUUGUUAUACUAUUAACUAAAGUUUAGGUAACAUUCAUUAUGAAAUAAUAUUAUUGCCGUGUCAAUACUGUAGGUCUCAGAAUCGGAGCCGACAUCGGUUUCAUUUGAGGAAUACAUGUUUAUGGGAUGCCGUUCAUCUACUGACUCUGUUUCGGUUAGUAUAAAAUGGACAUGACUCUUACUUUUAUUUGGAUGUUUCUAAUAGCAUAAAUAGUUACAUUGAUGUUACAUUGUGUGAUAAUGUUGUUACGGCCGUCAUCCUUCCUGAUAUACGUAUUUUGUUUGUCUUAUACAAUGAUUUGGCCCAUACGAAACUUGUAGACGCAUUCAAUGAGUCAGACAGUGAAUGACCCUCCAAAUGUUGUUGCUCCCGAUAUCGAUAAAAGUCAAACGGUAUGCAUACAUUUAGUAGUUAAAAUAAAACCUUCUUGUUCAUGUAGUAGAGCUACCUUUUUUUCUUUAAUUGUAACGGUGGGCUCCCGAAAGCUGUCAAAUCAUGCAAAUUAUGUAGUUAACGUAUGCUCGCUUUAAUAACGUAUUAUUUUUUAUUAUUUCAAGAUCCACCGUUUGGCUAAUCAGGGGCCUCCUGCAACUGCAAGUGUCCCUACAGAAUGGAUGCAUCCCAGAUUUUCUAUUUUUUCCAAGCAUAACUCUAUCAGAGAUGUCUUAAUGGUCUGAUAUAUCAUUUUUGUUAUAAUGUCUAGUCCAAUUUAACUUUAUAAGUGAGCAAUAUAGGCACUGGUAAUGAUUUGUUGACAGUCGAUUACUUAUACUAUAUAAUGUAGGAGGAGCGUGAGGCAAUUUCAACACACUGUGAUGUUGAUGCAUAUCAUGUAUUUGCACCAUCACCUCAGGUGAUAAACUUUUAUCGUUACAGCACAUAUUUAUGUAAUGUUAUUAAUUGGAGACUUGGACAUCGUAUAUCAGUAAUCGUAGGUUUUAUUAAUAAUAUUUGCUGAUUUGCCAUCGUUAUCCAUUUCAGGGAAGAAAUAACACACAGGGAUUGCAACUACGCGUUGA